ACGUAUGGGGCAAGCGUUAUCCGGAUUUACUGGGUGUAAAGGGAGCGUAGGCGGCAUGGCAAGUCAGAAGUGAAAGCCUGGGGCUCAACCCUGGAAUUGCUUUUGAAACUGUCAGGCUAGAGUGUCGGAGGGGUAAGCGGAAUUCCUAGUGUAGCGGUGAAAUGCGUAGAUAUUAGGAGGAACACCGGUGGCGAAGGCGGCUUACUGGACGAUUACUGACGCUGAGGCUCGAAAGCGUGGGGAGCAAACAG
rnacentral:rRNA from 1 species